CUUUUACAAUGAAGAGUUUGAUCCUGGCUCAGGAUGAACGCUAGCUACAGGCUUAACACAUGCAAGUCGAGGGGCAGCAUUUCAGUUUGCUUGCAAACUGGAGAUGGCGACCGGCGCACGGGUGAGUAACACGUAUCCAACCUGCCGAUAACUCGGGGAUAGCCUUUCGAAAGAAAGAUUAAUACCCGAUGGCAUAAUUAGACCGCAUGGUUUUAUUAUUAAAGAAUUUCGGUUAUCGAUGGGGAUGCGUUCCAUUAGGCAGUUGGUGAGGUAACGGCUCACCAAACCUUCGAUGGAUAGGGGUUCUGAGAGGAAGGUCCCCCACAUUGGAACUGAGACACGGUCCAAACUCCUACGGGAGGCAGCAGUGAGGAAUAUUGGUCAAUGGGCGCAGGCCUGAACCAGCCAAGUAGCGUGAAGGAUGACUGCCCUAUGGGUUGUAAACUUCUUUUAUAUGGGAAUAAAGUUUUCCACGUGUGGAAUUUUGUAUGUACCAUAUGAAUAAGGAUCGGCUAACUCCGUGCCAGCAGCCGCGGUAAUACGGAGGAUCCGAGCGUUAUCCGGAUUUAUUGGGUUUAAAGGGAGCGUAGGUGGACAGUUAAGUCAGUUGUGAAAGUUUGCGGCUCAACCGUAAAAUUGCAGUUGAUACUGGCUGUCUUGAGUACAGUAGAGGUGGGCGGAAUUCGUGGUGUAGCGGUGAAAUGCUUAGAUAUCACGAAGAACUCCGAUUGCGAAGGCAGCUCACUGGACUGCAACUGACACUGAUGCUCGAAAGUGUGGGUAUCAAACAGGAUUAGAUACCCUGGUAGUCCACACAGUAAACGAUGAAUACUCGCUGUUUGCGAUAUACAGUAAGCGGCCAAGCGAAAGCAUUAAGUAUUCCACCUGGGGAGUACGCCGGCAACGGUGAAACUCAAAGGAAUUGACGGGGGCCCGCACAAGCGGAGGAACAUGUGGUUUAAUUCGAUGAUACGCGAGGAACCUUACCCGGGCUUAAAUUGCAUUUGAAUAAUCUGGAAACAGGUUAGCCGCAAGGCAAAUGUGAAGGUGCUGCAUGGUUGUCGUCAGCUCGUGCCGUGAGGUGUCGGCUUAAGUGCCAUAACGAGCGCAACCCUUAUCUUUAGUUACUAACAGGUCAUGCUGAGGACUCUAGAGAGACUGCCGUCGUAAGAUGUGAGGAAGGUGGGGAUGACGUCAAAUCAGCACGGCCCUUACGUCCGGGGCUACACACGUGUUACAAUGGGGGGUACAGAAGGCAGCUACCUGGUGACAGGAUGCUAAUCCCAAAAGCCUCUCUCAGUUCGGAUCGAAGUCUGCAACCCGACUUCGUGAAGCUGGAUUCGCUAGUAAUCGCGCAUCAGCCAUGGCGCGGUGAAUACGUUCCCGGGCCUUGUACACACCGCCCGUCAAGCCAUGAAAGCCGGGGGUACCUGAAGUACGUAACCGCAAGGAGCGUCCUAGGGUAAAACUGGUAAUUGGGGCUAAGUCGUAACAAGGUAGCCGUACCGGAAGGUGCGGCUGGAACACCUCCUUU
rnacentral:rRNA from 1 species